GUCGAACGAACUCUGGUAUUGAUUGGUGCUUGCAUCAUGAUUUACAUUUGAGUGAGUGGCGAACUGGUGAGUAACACGUGGGAAACCUGCCCAGAAGCGGGGGAUAACACCUGGAAACAGAUGCUAAUACCGCAUAACAACUUGGACCGCAUGGUCCGAGUUUGAAAGAUGGCUUCGGCUAUCACUUUUGGAUGGUCCCGCGGCGUAUUAGCUAGAUGGUGGGGUAACGGCUCACCAUGGCAAUGAUACGUAGCCGACCUGAGAGGGUAAUCGGCCACAUUGGGACUGAGACACGGCCCAAACUCCUACGGGAGGCAGCAGUAGGGAAUCUUCCACAAUGGACGAAAGUCUGAUGGAGCAACGCCGCGUGAGUGAAGAAGGGUUUCGGCUCGUAAAACUCUGUUGUUAAAGAAGAACAUAUCUGAGAGUAACUGUUCAGGUAUUGACGGUAUUUAACCAGAAAGCCACGGCUAACUACGUGCCAGCAGCCGCGGUAAUACGUAGGUGGCAAGCGUUGUCCGGAUUUAUUGGGCGUAAAGCGAGCGCAGGCGGUUUUUUAAGUCUGAUGUGAAAGCCUUCGGCUCAACCGAAGAAGUGCAUCGGAAACUGGGAAACUUGAGUGCAGAAGAGGACAGUGGAACUCCAUGUGUAGCGGUGAAAUGCGUAGAUAUAUGGAAGAACACCAGUGGCGAAGGCGGCUGUCUGGUCUGUAACUGACGCUGAGGCUCGAAAGUAUGGGUAGCAAACAGGAUUAGAUACCCUGGUAGUCCAUACCGUAAACGAUGAAUGCUAAGUGUUGGAGGGUUUCCGCCCUUCAGUGCUGCAGCUAACGCAUUAAGCAUUCCGCCUGGGGAGUACGGCCGCAAGGCUGAAACUCAAAGGAAUUGACGGGGGCCCGCACAAGCGGUGGAGCAUGUGGUUUAAUUCGAAGCUACGCGAAGAACCUUACCAGGUCUUGACAUACUAUGCAAAUCUAAGAGAUUAGACGUUCCCUUCGGGGACAUGGAUACAGGUGGUGCAUGGUUGUCGUCAGCUCGUGUCGUGAGAUGUUGGGUUAAGUCCCGCAACGAGCGCAACCCUUAUUAUCAGUUGCCAGCAUUAAGUUGGGCACUCUGGUGAGACUGCCGGUGACAAACCGGAGGAAGGUGGGGAUGACGUCAAAUCAUCAUGCCCCUUAUGACCUGGGCUACACACGUGCUACAAUGGAUGGUACAACGAGUUGCGAACUCGCGAGAGUAAGCUAAUCUCUUAAAGCCAUUCUCAGUUCGGAUUGUAGGCUGCAACUCGCCUACAUGAAGUCGGAAU
rnacentral:rRNA from 2 species